UACGAAGGGGGCUAGCGUUGCUCGGAAUCACUGGGCGUAAAGCGCACGUAGGCGGUUUCUUAAGUCGGGGGUGAAAUCCCCGGGCUCAACCCGGGAACUGCGUCCGAUACUGGAAGGCUUGAAUCCGGGAGAGGGAUGCGGAAUUCCAGGUGUAGCGGUGAAAUGCGUAGAUAUCUGGAGGAACACCGGUGGCGAAGGCGGCAUCCUGGACCGGCAUUGACGCUGAGGCGCGAAAGCCAGGGGAGCAAACGGG
rnacentral:rRNA from 1 species